rnacentral:misc_RNA from 1 species
GAUGAAGAACGUAGUGAAAUGCGAUAAGUAAUGUGAAUUGCAGAAUUCAGUGAAUCGUCGAAUCUUUGAACGCACAUUGCGCCCGCCAGCAUUCUGGCGGGCAUGCCUGUUCGAGCGUCAUUUCAACCCUCAAGCUCUGCUUGGUGUUGGGGCCCUACGGUUGACGUAGGCCCUUAAAGGUAGUGGCGGACCCUCUCGGAGCCUCCUUUGCGUAGUAACUAACGUCUCGCAUUGGGAUUCGGAGGGACUCUUGCCGUAAAACCCCCAAAUUUUCUAAUGGUUGACCUCGGAUCAGGUAGGAAUACCCGCUGAACUUAAGCAUAUCAAUAAGCGGAGGA